UGGGGAAUUUUGGACAAUGGGCGCAAGCCUGAUCCAGCAAUGCCGCGUGCGGGAAGAAGGCCUUCGGGUUGUAAACCGCUUUUGGCAGGAACGAAACGGUGUCCGCUAAUACCGGGCGCUAAUGACGGUACCUGCAGAAUAAGCACCGGCUAACUACGUGCCAGCAGCCGCGGUAAUACGUAGGGUGCGAGCGUUAAUCGGAAUUACUGGGCGUAAAGCGUGCGCAGGCGGUUGUGUAAGACAGGCGUGAAAUCCCCGGGCUCAACCUGGGAAUGGCGCUUGUGACUGCACGGCUGGAGUGCGGGCAGAGGGGGGUAUGGGAAAUUUCCGCGUGUAGCAGUGAAAUGCGUAGAUAUGCGGAGGAACACCGAUGGCGAAGGCAAUCCCCUGGGCCUGACUGACGCUCAUGCACGAAAGCGUGGGGAGCAAACAGGAUUAGAUACCCUGGUAGUCCACGCCCUAAACGAUGUCGACUGGUUGUUGGGUCUUAGGUGACUCAGUAACGAAGCUAACGCGUGAAGUCGACCGCCUGGGGAGUAC
rnacentral:rRNA from 1 species